UACGGAGGGUGCGAGCGUUGUCCGGAAUCAUUGGGCGUAAAGGGCGCGUAGGUGGCUUCUUAAGCGUGCGGUGAAAGCCUGGGGCUCAACCCCGGGUCGGCCGUGCGAACUGGGGGGCUGGAGCACUGUAGAGGCAGGCGGAAUUCCGGGUGUAGCGGUGGAAUGCGCAGAUAUCAGGAGGAACACCGAUGGCGAAGGCAGAUCUCUGGGCCGUAACUGACGCUGAGGAGCGAAAGCGUGGGGAGCGAACAGG
rnacentral:rRNA from 1 species